AGAGUUUGAUCAUGGCUCAGAACGAACGCUGGCGGCGUGCUUAACACAUGCAAGUCGAGUGCGCGCCUGUAGCAAUACAGGUGGCGCACGGCGCACGGGUGCGUAACACGUGGGUAAUCUGCCCUCUGAUGGGGAAUAACUCGCCGAAAGGCGAGCUAAUUCCGCAUAAUAUUCCGAGAACUUUGGUUUUUGGACUGAAAGGCGUAAGUCGUCGGAGGAGGAGCCCGCGCACGAUUAGCUAGUUGGUAGGGUAAUGGCCUACCAAGGCUUUGAUCGUUAGCUGGUCUGAGAGGAUGGCCAGCCACACUGGAACUGAGACACGGUCCAGACUCCUACGGGAGGCAGCAGUGGGGAAUCUUGCACAAUGGGCGAAAGCCUGAUGCAGCGACGCCGCGUGGGGGAUGAAGCUUCUCGGAGUGUAAACCCCUUUCGAUCCGGACGAAUACCUCGCAAGAGGGGUGACGGUACGGAUAUAAGAAGCCCCGGCUAACUACGUGCCAGCAGCCGCGGUAAUACGUAGGGGGCCAGCGUUGUUCGGAAUUACUGGGUGUAAAGGGUUCGUAGGCGGUGCGGCAAGUUGGGAGUGAAAUCUCUGGGCUUAACCCAGAGACGGCUUCCAAAACUGCUGUGCUUGAGUGUGGGAGAGGCUCGUGGAAUUGCAGGUGUAGCGGUGAAAUGCGUAGAUAUCUGCAGGAACACCCGUGGCGAAAGUGGCGAGCUGGACCACUACUGACGCUGAAGAACGAAAGCUAGGGGAGAAAAGGAUUAGAUACCCNNGUAGUCC
rnacentral:rRNA from 1 species